ensembl:lncRNA
CAAAACACACGUGUUUUCUCUUCGCAAAUCCCCCAUUUAAGCGAAAAUCACACUUUUUCUCUUCGAGAAUCCCCCAUUUAAGCAAAAAUCACGUGUUUUCUGUUCGGAAAUCCCACAUUUAAGUGAAAAUCACGCGUUUUCUUUUUCAAAUCACCCAUUUAACACGAAAAUCACGUGUUUUCUCUUCGAGAAUCCCCCAGUUUACCCAAAAAUCACGUUUUCACUUCGAGAAUCCUCCAUUUUAGCGAAAAUCACGCGUUUUCUCUUCGCAAAUCCCCCAUUUAAGCAAAAAUCACGCGUUUUCUCUUCGAGAAUCCCCCAUUUAAAGAAAAAUCACGUGUUUUCUAUUCACAAAAUCCCCAUUUGACCCGAAAAUCACGCGUUUUCUCUUCGCAAAUCCCCCAUUAAGCGAAAAUCACGCGUUUUCUCUUUGAGAAUCCCCCAUUUAAGCAAAAAUCACGCGUUUUCUCUUCGCAAAUCCCCCAUUUAAGCAAAAAUCACGCGUUUUCUCUUCUAGAAUACCGCAUUUCAGCAAAAAUAAGGCUUUUUCUCUUCGGAAAUCCCCCAUUUAAGCGAAAAUCACGCGUUUUCUUUUCGAGAAUCCCCCAUUUAACCCGAAAAUCACGCGUUUUCUUUUCGAGAAUCCCCAUUUAAGUGAAAAUCAUGCAUUUUCUCUUCGCAAAUCCCCCAUUUAAGCGAAAAUCACGCGUUUUCUCCUCGAGAAUCCCCCAUUUAGGCAAAAAUCAUGCGUUUCCUCAUCGAGAAUCCCCCAUUUAAGCAAAAAUCACGCGUUUUCUCUUCGAGAAUCCCCCAUUUAAACCAAAAAUCACGCAUUUUCUCUUCGAAAAUCCCCCAUUUAACCCAAAAAUCACGCGUUUUCUCUUCGAGAAUCCCCAUUUAAGCCAAAAAUCGCGCAUUUUCUCUUCGAGAAUCACCCAUUUAAGCGAAAAUCACGCGUUUUCUCCUCGAGAAUCCCCCAUUUAACUCAAAAAUCACGCGUUUUCUCCUCGCAAAUCCCCCAUUUAAGCAAAAAUCACGUGUUUUCUUUUCGAGAAUCCCCCAUUUAACCCGAAAAUCACGCGUUUUCUCUUUGCAAAUCCCCCAUUUCAGCGAAAAUCACGCAUUUUCUCUUCGACAAUCCCACAUUUAAGCAAAAAUCGCGCGUUUUCUCCUCGAGAAUCCCCCAUUUAAGCGAAAAUCACGCAUUUUCUCUUCGAGAAUCCCCCAUUUAAUUUGAAUGUCGCGCGUUUUCUCUUCACAAAUCCCCCAUUUAAGCGAAAAUCACGUUUUCUGUUCGGAAAUCCCACAUUUAAGUGAAAAUCACGCGUUUUCUUUUUCAAAUCCCCCAUUUAACACGAAAAUCACGUGUUUUCUCUUCGAGAAUCCCCCAUUUUAGCGAAAAUCACGCGUUUUCUCUUUGCAAAUCCCCCAUUUAAGCAAAAAUCACGCGUUUUCUCUUCGAGAAUCCCCCAUGUAUCCCAAAAAUCACGCGUUUUCUCUUUGCAAAUCCCCC